rnacentral:rRNA from 1 species
UACGAAGGGGGCUAGCGUUGCUCGGAAUCACUGGGCGUAAAGCGCACGUAGGCGGAUUGCUAAGUCAGGGGUGAAAUCCUGGAGCUCAACUCCAGAACUGCCCUUGAUACUGGCGGUCUCGAGUCCGGGAGAGGUGAGUGGAACUGCGAGUGUAGAGGUGAAAUUCGUAGAUACUCGCAAGAACACCAGUGGCGAAGGCGGCUCACUGGCCCGGUACUGACGCUGAGGUGCGAAAGCGUGGGGAGCAAACAGG